rnacentral:rRNA from 1 species
GAGUUUGAUCUUGGCUCAGAUUGAACGCUGGCGGCAUGCCUUACACAUGCAAGUCGAACGGCAGCACGGGAGCUUGCUCCUGGUGGCGAGUGGCGAACGGGUGAGUAAUGCAUCGGAACGUAUCCUGGAGUGGGGGAUAACGUAGCGAAAGUUACGCUAAUACCGCAUAUUCUGUGAGCAGGAAAGCGGGGGACCUUCGGGCCUCGCGCUCUUGGAGCGGCCGAUGUCGGGUUAGCUAGUUGGUGAGGUAAAGGCUCACCAAGGCGACGAUCCGUAGCAGGUCUGAGAGGAUGAUCUGCCACACUGGAACUGAGACACGGUCCAGACUCCUACGGGAGGCAGCAGUGGGGAAUUUUGGACAAUGGGGGCAACCCUGAUCCAGCCAUGCCGCGUGAGUGAAGAAGGCC